UCUUAUCUGCCAUUGAUAAAUAGACAUGAAUUUCUCUCUUAUUAGGCUUUUCUAGGGUUUUCAAUCUCUAAUAAUCCUAAUUCUCCAAUUCUCUUUCUCUGUUCAUUACUUUCAUUGAAAUCUCACAUUAUAAUUAUAAUUCUCUUUCGUCGCUAAUAUUUUUCGUAGACCUUAAUCGCUGCGAUAUUAAAUCAGUCCUUGCAAGUUCUUUCUUCUGGGAUUUUAUUGGUAAGUCUGCUCCUUCAGAAUUUGAUUGUUAUUGGCAAGUCUUAUUCUUUUUCAAGAGCACAUUUUGUUAUGUGUAUAAUUAUUUUUAAUUUUUAUGUUAUUUUUUUUGGGUUUCUUCUUGUUUUUUCAGGUUUUAGGGUCUUGUAAUUUAUCAAUAAAUUAAGUAACUUUUUUAAGAAUAAUUUGGAAAUUUGAUGUAGGUCGGUCAUCGUCAACUUACUAUCUUAUCACUGUUUAGCUUAAAUUAUUGCUUCUAGUAGUUGUUUGUUGUGAUAUCCGUAUAUAGCAUAGAACCUUGUAAAUAGGGUUAUGUAAGAUUUUUAUUAAUGAAGUAUAAUUUAUUUAGAAAUUUAUUGUGCAAAAUAAAAUAAAGAGAAUGAAAUUAAUUUGAAUAUUUGGAAAAUGUUGUUUCCCUAAGGCAUAAAAGAGAUAUAGAAGGGGGCCGUAAGACCCUAACUUUUAUGAAUAAAGAUUUAAUUUUCUCUAAAUAGUAUUCUAAAUAGUAAGGUGAUGAUUUAAUAAAUCCUAUAGUUAUGGGUGAUAUGUGCAAAUUUUGUAAAGUAAGCAAGUUGUUAUAAAAUAUUCAUUUGGUCGGGAAAUAUUUGUUUGUUAGGGAGUAUUUGUACGACGACACAAUCAUUAGUGGACCCCACAACGGAAUAACUGUCGAAUAUAGAAAGCGACAAAAAUAACCUUUUUUAUAAAAAUAACGGCAAAACUUUUACCGGUAAACUGUUGAAAUACCCGGUGAUAAAAGUUCAGUAAUACGCGUUGUUUCACAAUGGUACGCGGUAUUGCACAGUAGCACAUGGUAUUGCACAGUAUCUCUGAUUUUUAAUGCUUAAGUAAGAAGUCACUUAGUUUCAUUCAAUAAUUGCCACAAUAAUUGCUGCAUAGUAUCUCAUAUUAUUGAUUCAAUUAUUAUCACAGUAUCAUCUGCACAAUAUUUUAUAUUAUUAAAUCAAUAAUUGACACGACAUAAUUAUUCAUAUUAUUAUUUGCAUUAUUGACAAUGUCUAGAAAGUUCUGUCGAGGAAAGGAGUUAGGUUAUUUAAUUGCGCGCCAAUAAGGAGAAAUUCUUAUCGGAAAACCCCUUCUUUCUUGGAAACGAUCUGGUUGUCAAUAUUGUGAGUUAUAAUAUUAAUGAUGAAUAAUUGUUGAAAGAUUAAAAAUGUGUUGAUUGAAGAUAAGUGAUUUGUGGUAGAUAUUUAUUCAAUUUUUGAUAUAAAUAGAGGGGUUUGUCAUAAGGCGUUUGUUGUAAAUUUGGGUUAUUAUUCCAUGGACCCCCAUGUGCCAAUUUGUCAAAUCGGCGAUAGAAAGUUAUCUCAGUUUUGUUUUAUUAUUAUUAUAAUAGUAAUAAAACAAAAAACUUUGUAUAUAAAAUAUAAAUUUUUUUAUAAUAUAUAUAAAGUUAUUUAUUUUAUUAGAAUAUAAAUAGAAUAUAUUAUAUUAUAUAUAAAGUUUUUGUUUUAUUAUAAUAUUUUAUUGCAUAGUGCUGCAUAGUAAAAUCAAAUUUUUGCCCGUGAAUUCGUCUAUGAUUUUUUUACUAUCGGUCCAUGAUUUCCUUAAAUAGUGUCCUGCCAUUCUCUUAUAAAUAGGUUGCUUAGUUAAGAAAUGAAAAUCACACCAGGAUCAGAGAAUUCUUUUUCUAUAAUAUUAUGCUUAUUUCUUUUGAGUAUAAGGAUACUUUGAGUGUAGUAAAUAGUGCAAGAUUUCCUCAAGAUAAUCUCCGCUAUACUAGUUUGAUUUAGUCUCCUACUAUGGUAAGGGAUAUUAUUUUCGGUCAAUAUUCAUAAGGAAUAUUAUUUUCUUCCAUACUCUAUAGUAUGUAAGUGAUAUUAUUUCAUUUCAUAUUCUUAAAUCUACACUUACUUUGAUAAGUAUUGCUUCUAUAAUUCUUAAAAUUAGUAGAAUAUCCUUAAUAGUUUGCGCUUCAUCUAAUAUCAUUUCACUGGAAUAUUGGUUUGAACUUUCUUAUUAAAUUUUAAUCUUUUUAUUUCAGAGUACUAUUCAUUUGAGGUACUAUUCAUGCCGGAGUACUAUUCGUCUGGGGUACUAUUUAUACCAGAGUACUAUUCAUCCGGGAUACUAUUCAUGCCGGAUUACUAUUCAUCCGAGUUACUAUUUAUACCAGAGUACUAUUCACGACGAAAUUAGUGUUUCUUUCUUUGUCCCAAUUAUCUUUGAAAUAUGAAUCUUGAAUAUUAUUCUUGAAUUUUAUUUCACAAUUGGUGAUCAUGUUGACAAUUUGGACAUUUUUGAACUCUGGAUAAAUUAAAUUAUAAAUCUCUAAUAUUUAUCCUUGAUCUCACUUCAUUCAUUCUUUAUAUCAUUGUCAUAAUCCUCAAGCUUAUAUUGUGGUGAAAGUAAUCUUUGGCCCGUAGUGCAAAUAUGAACUGUUGGUUGAUAUGAUUAUGACUAUGAAUUGCGUAUUGAUAUAACCAUGACCUUUAAUGUUACAGAUAAAGAUUUAUGGUGAAAGUCUUCUUUGGCACGUAGUGCAUAGAUGGACAGGUGUUUGACAUGAUCAUGACCACUGGUGAUACAAACGAUUAUCUUUGGCCCGUAAUGCAUAGAUAAUUCGUUGAUUGGAAAUAAUUAUUGAUUGAUGUUACAGGGAUAAAAUAUUGAUGAUGAACUUUUAAAUCAUAGAAGAUAGUAGACAUCAUGCUCUACUUGACUCUUCUAAUGGAUUGCUAUUUCUGCUGCAGUUGUUGAUCUAAAACUUGUUGUCUAUUAUAUUCUAUCAG
rnacentral:lncRNA from 1 species